GGCCAGCCUACUUUUCUCCUACGCAGCCCAACUCACGCCUCAACUUGGCGCUGAAUGCAGACUUCGCGCGCGUAUCCACUGAAUGCCUCUGCUCAUUAGCACGCGGGCCCAAGCCUCCAGACUCCCCUUCCCCUUUACGCUUGCCUGAACGACCGACUACAUGGAUCCCGCGCGGGAUUCGCAGGGCAGUUCCAACCACCUCGCUGUGUCCCUUGACCCUCCACCCAUAAACCGGAAUCGGAGCCAGACACAGAGAACAGAGAAGUCGCCGUUGGUGCCGAAGAGAAGAUGGAGCCAUCUUGGUCGACUCAUGCGUACAUCGCUGCUCCACCUUCGGAGGUUUGCCAUGGACGAUCUCUAGGGUUCGCGUAACGUAUCCGUGGUGGUUGCGGGAGUGAUGGGCUGUUGGGGUGGCUGGGAUUCAUCACCGGAGACUCAGAGCCGCGCCACAGCAUAGGCGGCACCACUAGCGUCCUCGCUUCAGGUCAAGAACAGGUACUGCCAAGAUGAGGAGCAUGAAGGAUGACGUGAUGAGUUCGUGAGAGCUAGACUGUCAUCUCCCAAUCAACUAUGGUCGUGGAGGAUCGUUGUCAUCAUAUGAUGUAAUUAUUUAGCUAUUUUGUACAGAACCUCUAUUAUAUAAUAAAGAUGUGACAUUGAUUUA